rnacentral:rRNA from 1 species
CCAAUAGCGUAUAUUAAAGUUGUUGCAGUUAAAAAGCUCGUAGUUGAAUUUCGGGAUUGACACAUCGGUCGUGCCUUAAGGGGUAUGAACUGGUGUAGUCAAUUUCUCACCUUCUGGAGAACCGCGAUGCCCUUAAUUGGGUGUCGCGGGGAACCAGGACCUUUACUUUGAAAAAAUUAGAGUGUUUAAAGCAGGCAUUUUGCUUGAAUACAUUAGCAUGGAAUAAUAAAAUAGGACGGCAUGAUUCUAUUUUGUUGGUUUCUAGGAUCACCGUAAUGAUUAAUAGGGAUAGUUGGGGGCAUUAGUAUUCAAUUGUCAGAGGUGAAAUUCUUGGAUUUAUUGAAGACUAACUACUGCGAAAGCAUUUGCCAAGGAUGUUUUCAUUAAUCAAGAACGAAAGUUAGGGGAUCGAAGACGAUCAGAUACCGUCGUAGUCUUAACCAUAAACCAUGCCGACUAGGAAUCAGACGAUGUUAAUUUUUUAAUGACUCGUUUGGCACCUUACG